rnacentral:rRNA from 1 species
CGGGUGAGUAACGCGUGGAUAACCUGCCUCACACUGGGGGAUAACAAUUAGAAAUGACUGCUAAUACCGCAUAAGCGCACAGUACCGCAUGGUACAGUGUGAAAAACUCCGGUGGUGUGAGAUGGAUCCGCGUCUGAUUAGCCAGUUGGCGGGGUAACGGCCCACCAAAGCGACGAUCAGUAGCCGACCUGAGAGGGUGACCGGCCACAUUGGGACUGAGACACGGCCCAA